ACGGCUCAGUAACACGUAGCUAACCUGCCCUCAAGCCGGUGAUACCCUCGGGAAACUGAGGUUAAUAACCGAUAGAUGAGGUUUUCUGGAAUGAUUUCUCGUCGAAAAUUAGCGUGAGGAUGGGGCUGCGGCUGAUUAGGUAGUUGGCGGGGUAAAUGCCCACCAAGCCGAUGAUCAGUAAGGGCUCUUAGCGGAGAAGCCCUGAGAGGGAAUCUGAGACACUAUUCCCAGCCCUACGGGGUGCAGCAGUCGGGAAAAUUUUGCAAUGCGCGAAAGCGUGACAAAGCAAGCCAGAGUGAUUUUCUAUAAUUGAAAAUCUUUUGUGGGAUGUAAAAAGUCUCACGAAUAAGGACUGGGCAAGACUGGUGCCAGCCGCCGCGGUAAUCCCAGCAGUCCAAGUCGCAGCCACAUUUGUUGGGUCUAAAAUAUCCGUAGCUUGUCUUUCAAGUCUUUUGUGAAAUCGUGCCUCUUAAGGGUACGGCGGGCAAAAGAUACUGUAAGACUAGAGACCGGAAGACGUAAGGAGUACGAUGAGGGUAGCGGUAAAAUGUGUUGAUCCUCAUCGGACUAACAAUAGCGAAGGCACCUUACGAGGACGGUUCUGACAGUGAGGGAUGAAGGCUAGGGGCGCAAAGUGGAUUAGAUACCCAUGUAGUCCUAGCAGUAAACACUGCACACUAA
rnacentral:rRNA from 1 species